AUACCCAUUAGGCAAAUUUUACGAAAGUAAAAGACGCAAAGCCACGGACCUAAGGUUUUUACUAUGGUAGCCGGGUUACCAAG
rnacentral:ncRNA from 1 species